rnacentral:rRNA from 1 species
CCUACGGGUGGCAGCAGUCGAGAAUCAUUCACAAUGGGGGAAACCCUGAUGGUGCGACGCCGCGUGGAGGAAUGAAGGUCUUCGGAUUGUAAACCCCUGUCAUGUGGGAGCAAAUUAAAAAGAUAGUACCACAAGAGGAAGAGACGGCUAACUCUGUGCGAGCAGCCGCGGUAAUACAGAGGUCUCAAGCGUUAUGCGGAAUCACUGGGCGUAAAGCGUGCGGAGGCUGUUUCGUAAGUCGUGUGUGAAAGGCGCGGGCUCAACCCGCGGACGGCACAUGAUACUGCGAGACUAGAGUAGUGGAGGGGGAGGCGGAAUUCUCGGUGUAGCAGUGAAAUGCGUAGAUAUCGAGAGGAACACUCGUGGCGAAGGCGGGUUCCUGGACAUUAACUGACGCUGAGGCACGAAGGCCAGGGGAGCGAAAGGGAUUAGAUACCCCGGUAGUC